rnacentral:rRNA from 1 species
GAUGAACGCUAGCGGCAGGCUUAACACAUGCAAGUCGAGGGGCAGCGUGGAGUAGCAAUACUCUGACGGCGACCGGCGAAAGGGUGAGUAACGCGUGGGCAACCUGCCUCAUACUGGGGGAUAACAGCUGGAAACGACUGUUAAUACCGCAUAAGCGCACAGAGUCGCAUGACUCAGUGUGAAAAAACUCCGGUGGUAUGAGAUGGGCCCGCGUCAGAUUAGCCAGUUGGCAGGGUAACGGCCUACCAAAGCGACGAUCUGUAGCCGGCCUGAGAGGGCGGACGGCCACAUUGGGACUGAGACACGGCCCAAACUCC